CCGGGCGAGGGGGUGACUCCCGAGCGGCUUCCUCAGUGGAGCGGGCAGGGCUCGGUGCCAGCGGGCUCCGCCGACCACUGAGGCUCGUUGGAGACGUCGAGGCAGGUCCUGUGCGUGUCCUGUAAGGUCCCCCGGGCCCCUGAGGGGACGACGACGGCGGCCAGGUGCCCAUACUGGUGAGAGGGAGUGUGUCUCCAGGAAACAGAGGUGUUAAUGUGGCUGGAGCUUCAAGAGUUUGAGCUCGUUGUGUUUACGAUGCCAGGGGAAGGCAGCACCGUCAGAUGCGGAGAGAUGGACUAGGAGCAGAACUUACCAACCCAAGAUUUCCGUCUUUUUCUUUCUUUAAAUGCUUAGACACGUCUGGAAGGAGAGGAAUGUGCCAUAACAACUUUUGUGCCUCUAUCACUCAGCCAGUACCUGGGACAAAACAUAGGCAAAGUAAACCUCGUUGAAGGAUCAGCUACAUCAUUUACAGAGCCCAUGUUAAUGUGGGGCCCCAUGUGAAUCCACAGGUUGGUUGAAGAACUGUGAAACUGAACUUGCCCUUAUAUCUCA